CCCGCAGAAAGCUGGCCGACGGGAGCGGGAAGAGAUCAGCCGAGCCCUCGCAUCAGCCUUCCCCCUGGGGCAUGUGCACCGUUGGGAAGAAAUUAAACAGAAUUUGUCAAACAAAAAUGAGAACAAGAAUAAGAGAAUAAAAAUACAAUGACAGGUA
rnacentral:lncRNA from 1 species